AGAGUUUGAUCCUGGCUCAGGACGAACGCUGGCGGCGUGCUUAACACAUGCAAGUCGGACGAACUCUUCGGAGUUAGUGGCGGACGGGUGAGUAACACGUGGGAACGUGCCUUUAGGUUCGGAAUAACCCAGGGAAACUUGUGCUAAUACCGAACGUGCCCUUCGGGGGAGAGAUUUAUCGCCUUUAGAGCGGCCCGCGUCUGAUUAGCUAGUUGGUGAGGUAAAUGCUCACCAAGGCGACGAUCAGUAGCUGGUCUGAGAGGAUGAUCUGCCACAUUGGGACUGAGACACGGCCCAAACUCCUACGGGAGGCAGCAGUGGGAAAUAUUGCACAAUGGGCGCAAGCCUGAUGCAGCGACGCCGCGUGAGGGAUGACGGCCUUCGGGUUGUAAACCUCUUUCAGCAGGGAAGAAGCGAAAGUGACGGUACCUGCAGAAGAAGCGCCGGCUAACUACGUGCCAGCAGCCGCGGUAAU
rnacentral:rRNA from 1 species